rnacentral:rRNA from 1 species
CCAAUAGCGUAUAUUAAAGUUGUUGCAGUUAAAAAGCUCGUAGUUGAAUUUCGGGGUCAGCAGGUUGGUCGUGCCAAUGGUAUGCACUGGCCUUGCUGAUUCCUCCCUCUUGAUGAGCCGUAAUGCCAUUAAUUUGGUGUUGCGGGGAAUCAGGACUGUUACUUUGAAAAAAUUAGAGUGUUUAAAGCAGGCAAGCGCUUGAAUACAUUAGCAUGGAAUAAUGAAAUAGGACGUUCGAUCCUAUUUUGUUGGUUUCUAGGAUUGACGUAAUGAUUAAUAGGGAUAGUUGGGGGCAUUAGUAUUCAAUUGUCAGAGGUGAAAUUCUUGGAUUUAUUGAAGACUAACUACUGCGAAAGCAUUUGCCAAGGAUGUUUUCAUUAAUCAAGAACGAAAGUUAGGGGAUCGAAGACGAUCAGAUACCGUCGUAGUCUUAACCAUAAACUAUGCCGACUAGGGAUCGGAUGAUGUUAAUUUUUUAAUGACUCAUUCGGCGCCUUACG